ACAGGCAAAUCUGGAGAGCGUCGGAUUGGGAUUUAUGGAAACAUCCAAAACCGACCACCGAAGGGGCACGCAAUGCGAAUUGCAAUCUCUCAGGUACCAAGGACAGAUGGGGCGCA
rfam:Betaproteobacteria bacterium RIFCSPLOWO2_12_61_14 rifcsplowo2_12_sub10_scaffold_7284, whole genome shotgun sequence.